rnacentral:rRNA from 1 species
GUGACCUCAAAUCAGGUAGGACUACCCGCUGAACUUAAGCAUAUCAAUAAGCGGAGGAAAAGAAACUAACAAGGAUUCCCCUAGUAACUGCGAGUGAAGCGGGAAAAGCUCAAAUUUAAAAUCUGGCGGUCUUUGGCUGCCCGAGUUGUAAUCUAGAGAAGUGUUAUCCGUGCUGGACCGUGUACAAGUCUCCUGGAAUGGAGCGUCAUAGAGGGUGAGAAUCCCGUCUUUGACACGGACUGCCAGGACUUUGUGAUGCGCUCUCAAAGAGUCGAGUUGUUUGGGAAUGCAGCUCAAAAUGGGUGGUAAAUUCCAUCUAAAGCUAAAUAUUGGCGAGAGACCGAUAGCGAACAAGUACCGUGAGGGAAAGAUGAAAAGAACUUUGGAAAGAGAGUUAAACAGUACGUGAAAUUGCUGAAAGGGAAACGCUUGAAGUCAGUCGCGUUGUCCAGGGAUCAACCUUGCUUUUGCUUGGUGCACUUUCUGGUUGACGGGUCAGCAUCAAUUUUGAUCAUUGGAAAAAGAUUAGGGGAAUGUGGCAUCUUUGGAUGUGUUAUAGCCCUUGGUUGCAUACAAUGGUUGGGAUUGAGGAACUCAGCACGCCGCAAGGCCGGGUUUUUAACCACGUACGUGCUUAGGAUGCUGGCAUAAUGGCUUUAAUCGACCCGUCUUGAAACACGGACCAAGGAGUCUAACAUGCCUGCGAGUGUUUGGGUGGAAAACCCGAGCGCGUAAUGAAAGUGAAAGUUGAGAUCCCUGUCGUGGGGAGCAUCGACGCCCGGACCAGACCUUUUGUGACGGUUCCGCGGUAGAGCAUGUAUGUUGGGACCCGAAAGAUGGUGAACUAUGCCUGAAUAGGGUGAAGCCAGAGGAAACUCUGGUGGAGGCUCGUAGCGAUUCUGACGUGCAAAUCGAUCGUCAAAUUUGGGUAUAGGGGCGAAAGACUAAUCGAACCAUCUAGUAGCUGGUUCCUGCCGA